AACCUUAAUGGAAACAAUUGAGGAAGCCCUGUGGUGAACUUGUCGCGGAUAGUUGUUUCCAUAACCCACCAUGUAACUGGUAGCUCUUGGGUUGUCUCCAAGAAUGUAAUCCACCUGAGAUUUCGCGAAAGAAAGAAGCUCGGAUGAGGUAACAAUGGCAGAAGCACACUUGAUGCUUCUACCAGCAGAAGCAAGAUAAUCAGAAUAGACAGUAGCCAAGAAGGAGGCGCUUGUGACGAACUGCAUGUUGUUCCACCUCUGGCGGAAAAUUAGACC
rnacentral:misc_RNA from 1 species